GCUGUGACAGCUUGUAGUCACCAGCCCCAGCCAGGGCAUGGGGGAGCACUUGCAACAGCCUGUGCUCUCUGGUCUCAGCCAGUGCCGAAGCUGCUGGCUCCACCCAUCCCAGCAAGGGGGUGGGAAGAUGCCACAUCGGAGCCUGCCCGCCUGCCCAUCCCAGCCGGUUAUAUGGAAAGUGCAACGAUGGUGUCUACCCGCCUCUCUGACUGACCUCCCUAGCUCCUCUAGCCAAUCCCCCCAGAUUGGUAAAGAACAGCAAAAACCUCCAGAAACAACUGCUUUGGCUGAACAAGAACACGAAGAUUCCAAGUGGACAGUAGAAUAAAAGAGGGACCACAAAAGAACUACAUACCCAGUCCCAUGUCUCCAGAAAGCCCCCAGAAUGCUUUUGGAGUAUUCAACCUCACUACAAAUAAAGACAUUCAACUUAAAACUGCA
rnacentral:lncRNA from 1 species